AACGAACGCUGGCGGCAUGCCUAACACAUGCAAGUCGAACGAGACCUUCGGGUCUAGUGGCGCACGGGUGCGUAACGCGUGGGAACCUGCCCUUAGGUUCGGAAUAACUCCCCGAAAGGGGUGCUAAUACCGGAUAAUGUCUUCGGACCAAAGAUUUAUCGCCUUUGGAUGGGCCCGCGUUGGAUUAGCUAGUUGGUAGGGUAAAAGCCUACCAAGGCGACGAUCCAUAGCUGGUCUGAGAGGAUGAUCAGCCACACUGGGACUGAGACACGGCCCAGACUCCUACGGGGGGCAGCAGUGGGGAAUAUUGGACAAUGGGCGAAAGCCUGAUCCAGCAAUGCCGGGUGGGUGAUGAAGGCCUUAGGGUUGUAAAGCUCUUUUCCCCGGGAUGAUAAUGACAGUACCGGGAGAAUAAGCCCCGGCUAACUCCGU
rnacentral:rRNA from 1 species